AGAGUUUGAUCCUGGCUCAGGAUGAACGCUAGCUACAGGCUUAACACAUGCAAGUCGAGGGGCAGCAUUUUUAUAGCAAUAUAAAAGAUGGCGACCGGCGCACGGGUGAGUAACACGUAUCCAACCUGCCGAUAACUCGGGGAUAACCCUUCGAAAGAAGGCCUAAUACCCGAUGGCAUAUCCCUUCCGCCUGGUUGGGAUAUUAAAGAACUUCGGUUAUCGAUGGGGAUGCGUUCCAUUAGCUUGUUGGCGGGGUAACGGCCCACCAAGGCUUCGAUGGAUAGGGGUUCUGAGAGGAAGGUCCCCCACAUUGGAACUGAGACACGGUCCAAACUCCUACGGGAGGCAGCAGUGAGGAAUAUUGGUCAAUGGACGAGAGUCUGAACCAGCCAAGUAGCGUGAAGGAUGACUGCCCUAUGGGUUGUAAACUUCUUUUAUAAAGGAAUAAAGUCGGGUAUGCAUACCCGUUUGCAUGUACUUUAUGAAUAAGGAUCGGCUAACUCCGUGCCAGCAGCCGCGGUAAUACGGAGGAUCCGAGCGUUAUCCGGAUUUAUUGGGUUUAAAGGGAGCGUAGGCGGAUGCUUAAGUCAGUUGUGAAAGUUUGCGGCUCAACCGUAAAAUUGCAGUUGAUACUGGGCGUCUUGAGUACAGUAGAGGCAGGCGGAAUUCGUGGUGUAGCGGUGAAAUGCUUAGAUAUCACGAAGAACUCCGAUUGCGAAGGCAGCCUGCUGGACUGUAACUGACGCUGAUGCUCGAAAGUGUGGGUAUCAAACAGGAUUAGAUACCCUGGUAGUCCACACAGUAAACGAUGAAUACUCGCUGUUUGCGAUAUACGGCAAGCGGCCAAGCGAAAGCGUUAAGUAUUCCACCUGGGGAGUACGCCGGCAACGGUGAAACUCAAAGGAAUUGACGGGGGCCC
rnacentral:rRNA from 1 species